CCUACGGGAGGCAGCAGUGAGGAAUAUUGGUCAAUGGCCGCAAGGCUGAACCAGCCAAGUCGCGUGAGGGAUGACGGUCCUCUGGAUUGUAAACCUCUUUUGUCAGGGAGCAAAGGGCGCCACGUGUGGCGCUUUGCGAGUACCUGAAGAAAAAGCAUCGGCUAACUCCGGGCCAGCAGCCCCGGUAAUACGGAGGAUGCGAGCGUUAUCCGGAUUUAUUGGGUUUAUAGGGUGCGCAGUCGGAAUGUCAAGUCAGUGGUAAAAUUUCGGGGUUCAACCCCGUCGUGCCGUUGAAACUGGCGUUCUUGAGUGAGCGAGAAGUAUGCGGAAUGCGUGGUGUAGCGGUGAAAUGCAUAGAUAUCACGAAGAACUCCGAUUGCGAAGGCAGCAUACCGGCGCUCAACUGACGCUCAUGCACGAAAGCGUGGGUAUCGAACAGGAUUAGAUACCCUUGUAGUC
rnacentral:rRNA from 1 species